UCUACGCAGAAGCACUGACAGAACUGUUGAAAUACCGAAGGAUGGUUUUUGUUAUUUUUAUCCCCGCACACGACAGCAACAUACGAGCGGAUUAUGAUUGUCAAGAAUUUGAAGAAGCGUGAUAGAAGAUAAAGGACCUAACGGUAUAAACUUGAAAUGCUUUCCGAAUAGAAACGACCAAAAGUAUCGUCUCUGCUGUAAAGUUCCUGUGUGGACAGGGACGAAAAUAUAUGCCAUGUCUUUUUGGAACAGGAUCUUCUUACAUUUUUCAUAAAACAUAUUUUACUUAGUUGCUCCUUGGAUAAAGACAUAUCACCAAGUAGUCGCCAGCCUACCAACGGGAAACGUUGACUCGUCCGUGCUACUGCAGGGUAAAAUGUUUGGUUUAUGGCCUCUUCGGACACCAGUAGCUUAUAUGUCCGUCUGAAUCAGCUAUAUCUGGUUGUAUAACUGAAGAGGGAAGGGAUCCACAGGCAAGACAUCCUACAUGCGUAGUAACCAGACUCCAGCAUUGAUAGUGUUGGUCCGACCACCGUGUACUGGGAGCAGCUGGGAGUCCAUGGCUGCUGUCUGAUUCAUUACACUAGUUCCCAGUUGUCUUGAAAGCACCAUAAAUCCAGAGA